rnacentral:rRNA from 1 species
GACGAACGCUGGCGGCGUGCUUAACACAUGCAAGUCGAACGGAAAGGCCCUGCUUUUGUGGGGUGCUCGAGUGGCGAACGGGUGAGUAACACGUGAGUAACCUGCUCUUGACUUUGGGAUAACUUCAGGUAACUGGGGCUAAUACCGGAUAGGAGCUCCUGCUGCAUGGUGGGGGUUGGAUAGUUUCGGCGGUUGGGGAUGGACUCGCGGCUUAUCAGCUUGUUGGUGGGGUAGUGGCUUACCAAGGCUUUGACGGGUAGCCGGCAUGAGAGGGUGACCGGCCACAAUGGGACUGAGAUACGGCCCAGACUCCUACGGGAGACAGCAGUGGGGAAUAUUGCACAAUGGGCGGAAGCCUGAUGCAGCAACGCCGCGUGCGGGAUGACGGCCUUCGGGUUGUAAACCGCUUUCGCCUGUGACGAAGCGUGAGUGACGGUAAUGGGUAAAGAAGCACCGGCUAACUACGUG